AUUGGUGCUUGCACCAGAUGACGAGUGGCGCACGGGUGCGUAACGCGUAUGCAACCUACCUUUUACUAGAGUAUAGCCCAGAGAAAUUUGGAUUAAUCCUCUAUAACAUCUUUAAAUUUCAUGAUUUUUAGAUUAAAGUUUUAACGGUAAAAGAUGGGCAUGCGUCCUAUUAGUUUGUAGGUGAGGUAACGGCUCACCUAGACUACGAUAGGUUGGGGCCCUGAGAGGGGGAUCCCCCACACUGGUACUGAGACACGGACCAGACUCCUACGGGAGGCAGCAGUAAGGAAUAUUGGACAAUGGACGAAAGUCUGAUCCAGCCAUGCCGCGUGCAGGAUGAAAGCCCUAUGGGUUGUAAACUGCUUUUAUACAGGAAGAAAAACUCCGACGUGUCGGAGCUUGACGGUACUGUAAGAAUAAGGAUCGGCUAACUCCGUGCCAGCAGCCGCGGUAAUACGGAGGAUCCAAGCGUUAUCCGGAAUCAUUGGGUUUAAAGGGUCCGCAGGCGGUCU
rnacentral:rRNA from 1 species